CAAAAAGAAAACCCCAUGUGUGGCAGAAAAGUGGUUGCUUAUGUUGCGAUGCUGGAGGAGGUGGUGUCUGGUUUCCAUAAGACCCAGGGGAUUGGUUGGACCAGUGACCUGGAAGUGCUGUAACCACCCAUUCCCUUGCCCAGGGGCCUGCCUGCUCCUCCCAGGCCACUACUCAGAGAGGUCUCCUCUGUGCUUGCUUGGAAGGUUCCUGUAGCUAUAAGCAGGUCGCUGAGAGCCCUCUCCCCAGACCCAGCACCCCCGCCCCUGUUCUCUUGCUGUUACCUGUCAACAGGCUUCCUGCUGUUACCGACCCCAGCGCAAGAGCCACAGAAGGCAGCUCUCUGAGGGCACCAGGCCAGGCAAGGCUGAGCAUCCUCCCAGGGAGUGAGACAUCAGCUUCCCAAAGAAAGGUCUUCGAUUACUAGUCUCUUAAAAAUGCUUCAAAUAAAACAAAAGGGGUUCUACAGCUACAAACGUUUGAGGAAUUUGGCUAACCCAAGUUCAACCCUCCCCCUCCUUUCCCUUCCCCCACCCAUCUCAGAAACCUACAGUAACCUGCUAAGUUGGGACCACACAGUGGUUAAGGC
rnacentral:lncRNA from 1 species